rnacentral:rRNA from 1 species
GCAUAUCAAUAAGCGGAGGAAAAGAAACUAACAAGGAUUCCCCUAGUAACUGCGAGUGAAGCGGGAAAAGCUCAAAUUUAAAAUCUGGCGGUCUCCGGCCGUCCGAGUUGUAGUCUGGAGAAGCGUUUUCCGCGUCGGACCGUGUACAAGUUUCCUGGAACGGAGCGUCAUAGAGGGUGAGAAUCCCGUCUUUGACACGGACUACCGAUGCUUUGUGAUGCGCUCUCGAAGAGUCGAGUUGUUUGGGAAUGCAGCUCAAAAUGGGUGGUGAAUUCCAUCUAAAGCUAAAUAUUGGCGAGAGACCGAUAGCGAACAAGUACCGUGAGGGAAAGAUGAAAAGCACUUUGGAAAGAGAGUUAAACAGUACGUGAAAUUGUUGAAAGGGAAACGCUUGAAGUCAGUCACGUCUGCCGGGACUCAGCCUUGCAAUCUUGCUUGGUGUACUUUCUGGUGGACGGGCCAGCAUCAAUUUUGACUGCCGGACAAAGGCUAGGGAAAUGUGGCACCUUCGGGUGUGUUAUAGUCCCUGGUCACAUACGGUGGUUGGGAUUGAGGAACUCAGCAUGCCUUUAUGGUCGGGGUUCGCCCACGUUCAUGCUUAGGAUGCUGGCGUAAUGGCUUUAAACGACCCGUCUUGAAACACGGACCAAGGAGUCUAACAUGCCCGCGAGUGUUCGGGUGGAAAACCCGUGCGCGUAAUGAAAGUGAAAGUUGGGGACCUCUGUCGCGGAGGGCACCGACGCCCGGACCAGAACUUCUGUGACGGAUCUGCGGUAGAGCGUGUAUGUUGGGACCCGAAAGAUGGUGAACUAUGCCUGAAUAGGGUGAAGCCAGAGGAAACUCUGGUGGAGGCUCGUAGCGAUUCUGACGUGCAAAUCGAUCGUCAAAUUUGGGUAUAGGGGGCGAAAGACUAAUCGAACCAUCUAGUAGCUGGUUCCUGCCGA